GCUGUGACUUGAAAGAAGCCAGAGAGGCCAGGAGAUGAAGAUGAGGAGGAAGAGCCUUCCAGCCUUGUGGGACAAUCAGCGAAAAAGUACAAGCUUCCAGUGACUUGCCAUAGGAGUGUGGAGUGGUGACGUGGCCAGGAUGUGAAUGAAGGUCAAAGACUUCUGGGCAUAGCAUUCUCACACAGCAGGCCUUGAACGUGGGCUGGAGUUGCCUUUCAUCUGUGAGUGGGCUGUGGUUCAUGAAAUCAAGGUAUACAGAAAAAUAGACCCAAGGGGAAGAAGAGUUGUGAAUAGCAACUGGUGACAUUGAGUCAUUCUUAUGGCUGCCCUUGAUGAAACUGCUGGGUUGUUUCCCGAUGGCUUCCUCUGUCAGAUACGCAUAUGAAUGGGGACAGGUGACCCGAUGGUAUGGCUAGUCUUGCCAUACACUUCCUUAUCUGGGGAGCAAUUACAACUGCCUGAAAUGACAUUUGUCCGAGGGAAUAUGGAGACAGCUGAAGAAAUUAUGUCUGUGCAGCAACUAAUUUGCAUUUAAUUGUAAUCGGCAUUCAUUUUGGGUCUUGGCAGCUGAGAGGCACAGUGUGUCUGUCAGGCAGGCACUUCAGCGGAUCACAACGGUAACCAGUGAGUGUUUCCGGGAUGCUAACUGCAUUUGUAACAAGUGUCAGUUUGGCAUACAAGCAGCAUCCUUCCUCAGAAGAGUUAAACCAUGAAAGAUACAUCAAAAACAAGGAUGAAGCAAAUCUUUGGGCAGCUUUGUAACUGCCCCCUUCUGGCCCCCAGCUCAAAAAUGCUGCCUCUUUUUCAUUCGUCCCCUAGCCCCAGGAAUAGAACUAAAGCAUCAUUCCCCCCACUCCCUUCCCUUUAAGCUGGCAGAGAAGCAGUAGUAUUUGAACAAAGGAUGCUUCAGUGUGGGGCAACUUCAUAGGCAAAGCUUAACACAAAGGAUAAAGAAAAAAAAAGGAACCCAAAUCCUUGUUGGGUUUGAUUUCUGUAGUAAAAUAAACCUUCGUUAAUUAUCAAUUCGGUUUAAAGAAAGCAUCUAAUAAGAUUCUAUUAUAUGUCGGGCACUAUGAUAGGGCUUGCGAUUCGAAGACAAACGCAACUGUCCCUGUCCUCACGAUGCUGAUGUUCUACCUGGGGUGGGGAUAUAAUCGUACACAGAUUAGUAUGUUAAAAGUUCUCUGAAGAGAGACUGUGAACAACUGGGGAAGAUCAAGGUACCCUGUGCUGAGGAGUUGGUACUGGAGCCUCGCCUCGCAGGAGUAUGAGGAUUCUGAAAGUGAGAAUGAGAUUCAGAGAGAUAUUAAGCAGAGUUUUUCUGGAAGAAGCCUGGAUCAGUCUGGCUGUUCACCUUCUCCACUGGCUGAAGUUACAUGCAAAAUGGACAGUGAGAACACGUGCAUUCCUGGGGUAUGGGACAAGCAGAAGGAUGGAGUCCUCAAGAUACCAAGAAUGAACAUUCCCAUUUCUCACAAAUGAAAUAUUUGUAAUGUACUUAAGCGCAGUGCCUGGUACACAACAGGUACUUAAUAAAUGCUUAUUCCCCUUCCUCCUUCCCCUCUCAUAGCUCAUCUUUUAUAGCAUGACCUGUGGGUCUGGUACCAUGCUGAUCUGCCUCCUCUGAAUAUGUUCCAGAAUAUCAAUAUCCUACCCAAUAUUCCAUCUGUGGUGUGACCAUGGCCUAGUACAGUAUAGAUCCUUUCCUCUGCUUCCCUUCUAUCCACCCCCAAUAGGUGGAAGUAGAAGAGCUCAGAAAGUGCCCAUUUCAGGCAAAUGGUGUGAAAAUAAAUCCAAUUAAGAGCCUCCCAUCAGUGCUUCUUGUUGCUGGUAUAUAUAAUGUAUGUGUUGGGGUGGUGGUGUAAUAUAAUCCAGAGUCCGUCUCUGAAUAGGCCUCAGUAACGGCCAACUCUGUACAGCAUUAAUCAUUGCUCUCCCGUGAUAGUCACUGGAUCCUCUCAAGCUGAACUGACACGUUCCUGCUACCGCUAUCUCUCUUCAGGCACUAGUUCACUCCCAAACAGCCACUGAAGCACCCUCCUGUUCUGAACCAAAUCGUCAACUCCCAAGUCCCCCACACAAACCCUGUCAAACACUUCAAGCUUUACUCCGACACAAUAAUGUCUCCAUCCCAACUCUAGCCUUCCCUUCCCACACCUUCCUUCAUUAAAGCCAAGCCAGGCUCCAACCUCCAAGCUAUCCAACAUCAGCAGUGCAACCGCUUCCCAGAGUCCUUAAAUAGGCCUAGAGAUUUACGGACAGCUGUGUGCCCCCACACAGCUGUUCCUCCUAUGCUAGCUUACUCAACCUCUGUUAGGGAGAGAAAAAGAUAAAUAAACCCUCUGUGAAUCUACACUUUGAGGGAUGUGGGUCUAACAUUAUGCUAGGCACUGCAGGUUAUAAAAAAGAAAUGUAUGUAGAUGAAUAUAAUAUAAAUUAGACUGUGCUAAGUGCCUAGGAGGAAUAUAAAAUGCUGAGAGAUCAGAGGAGUGAGAAAUCCUUUCCCUUUCUGGGAAUCAAGGAAGACUUCAAAAGGAGAUGCUAUUUGAGCUUGUCCUUGAAGCAAGGACAAAUAAGAUGUUUACAGGUGAAGAUUGAGUAUGUGAUCAGAGAGUAUUACCAGCAUAGGAAAUGGUUUGGAGUGCAUACCCUUUGACAAAGCAAUACUAUCACUACAAGGUCUGUACUCAAAAGAGAUAAAAAAAAACCCAAAAAGGAAAUGGACCUAUAUGUACAAAAAUACUUACAGCAUCUCUUU